CUCAGUCUACGGGACGCAGCAGUGAGGAAUAUUGGUCAAUGGGCGCAGGCCUGAACCAGCCACGUAGCGUGAAGGAUGACUGCCCUAUGGGUUGUAAACUUCUUUUAUAUGGGAAUAAAGUUUUCCACGUGUGGAAUUUUGUAUGUACCAUAUGAAUAAGGAUCGGCUAACUCCGUGCCAGCAGCCGCGGUAAUACGGAGGAUCCGAGCGUUAUCCGGAUUUAUUGGGUUUAAAGGGAGCGUAGGGGGACAGUUAAGUCAGUUGUGAAAGUU
rnacentral:rRNA from 1 species